rnacentral:misc_RNA from 1 species
UCUCCGUUGGUGAACCAGCGGAGGGAUCAUUACAGAGUCGUAAAAAACUCCCAACCCAUGUGAACUUACCUUUGUUGCCUCGACAGGACCUACCCAGUAGUUACCCUGUAGCUACCCUGUAGCCCUGCCGGUGGACUACUAAACUCUUGUUAUUUUUAAAGUAAUCUGAGCGUCUUAUUUUAAUAAGUCAAAACUUUCAACAACGGAUCUCUUGGUUCUGGCAUCGAUGAAGAACGCAGC